rnacentral:rRNA from 1 species
AGUGGCGGACGGGUGAGUAACGCGUAAGAAUCUAACUUCAGGACGGGGACAACAGUGGGAAACGACUGCUAAUACCCGAUGUGCCGCGAGGUGAAACCUAAUUGGCCUGAAGAAGAGCUUGCGUCUGAUAGCUAGUUGGUGGGGUAAGAGCCUACCAAGGCGACGAUCAGUAGCUGGUCUGAGAGGAUGAGCAGCCACACUGGGACUGAGACACGGCCCAGACUCCUACGGGAGGCAGCAGUGGGGAAUUUUCCGCAAUGGGCGAAAGCCUGACGGAGCAACGCCGCGUGAGGGAGGAAGGUCUUUGGAUUGUAAACCUCUUUUCUCAAGGAAGAAGUUCUGACGGUACUUGAGGAAUCAGCCUCGGCUAACUCCGUGCCAGCAGCCGCGGUAAUACGGGGGAGGCAAGCGUUAUCCGGAAUUAUUGGGCGUAAAGCGUCCGCAGGUGGUCAGCCAAGUCUGCCGUCAAAUCAGGUUGCUUAACGACCUAAAGGCGGUGGAAACUGGCAGACUAGAGAGCAGUAGGGGUAGCAGGAAUUCCCAGUGUAGCGGUGAAAUGCGUAGAGAUUGGGAAGAACAUCGGUGGCGAAAGCGUGCUACUGGGCUGUAUCUGACACUCAGGGACGAAAGCUAGGGGAGCGAAAGGGAUUAGAUGCCCCUGUAGUCCUAGCCGUAAACGAUGGAUACUAGGCGUGGCUUG